AUCUUCACCGGUUGUCUCGGGUGACCGCCAAGUUUACUUUGAAAAAAUUAGAGUGCUCAAAGCAGGCGCGACGCCUGAAUAAUUGUGCAUGGAAUAAUGGAAUAGGACCUCGGUUCUAUUUUGUUGGUUUUCGGAACACGAGGUAAUGAUUAAGAGGGACAGACGGGGGCAUUCGUAUUGCGACGCUAGAGGUGAAAUUCUUGGACCGUCGCAAGACGAACUACUGCGAAAGCAUUUGCCAAGAAUGUUUCCAUUAAUCAAGAACGAAAGUUAGAGGUUCGAAGGCGAUCAGAUACCGCCCUAGUUCUAACCAUAAACGAUGCCAGCCAGCAAUCCGCCUGUGUUCCUCAAAUGACACGGCGGGCGGCUUCCGGGAAACCAAAGCUUUUGGGUUCCGGGGGAAGUAUGGUUGCAAAGCUGAAACUUAAAGGAAUUGACGGAAGGGCACCACCAGAAAUGGAGCCUGCGGCUUAAUUUGACUCAACACGGGGAAACUUACCCGGCCCGGACACAGGAAGGAUUGACAGAUUAAGAGCUCUUUCUUGAUUCUGUGGGUGGUGGUGCAUGGCCGUUCUUAGUUGGUGGGGCGACUUGUCUGGUUAAUUCCGAUAACGAACGAGACUCUAGCCUACUAAAUAGACGUUCCGAUCCUCUUGAGUCGGACGUUCUUCUUAGAGGGACAAGCGGCGUUUAGCCGCACGAGACAGAGCAAUAACAGGUCUGGGAUGCCCUUAGAUGUCCGGGGCCGCACGCGCGCUACAUUGAAGGAAUCAGCGUGUGCUUUCCCUGUCCGAAAGGACUGGGUAACCCGUUGAACCUCCUUCGUGCUGGGGAUUGGCGAUUGUAAUUGUCCGCCAUGAACGAGGAAUUCCCAGUAAGCACGAGUCAUCAGCUCGUGUUGAUUACGUCCCUGCCCUUUGUCCACACCGCCCGUCGCUACUACCGAUUGAAUGAUUUAGUGAGGUCUUCGGACUGGCGUUCGGAUUGGCCUUCGCGGUCGAGCCGUUAUGCCGGAAAGAUGA
rnacentral:rRNA from 1 species